GAUGAACGCUGGCGGCGUGCCUAAUACAUGCAAGUCGAGCGAACAGAUGAGGAGCUUGCUCCUCUGACGUUAGCGGCGGACGGGUGAGUAACACGUGGAUAACCUACCUAUAAGACUGGGAUAACUUCGGGAAACCGGAGCUAAUCCCGGAUAAUAUAUUGAACCGCAUGGUUCAAUAGUGAAAGACGGUUUUGCUGUCACUAAUAGAUGGAUCCGCGCCGCAUUAGCUAGUUGGUAAGGUAACGGCUUACCAAGGCAACGAUGCGUAGCCGACCUGAGAGGGGGAUCGGCCACACUGGAACUGAGACACGGUCCAGACUCCUACGGGAGGCAGCAGUAGGGAAUCUUCCGCAAUGGGCGAAAGCCUGACGGAGCAACGCCGCGUGAGUGAUGAAGGUCUUCGGAUCGUAAAACUCUGUUAUUAGGGAAGAACAAAUGUGUAAGUAACUAUGCACGUAUUGACGGUACCUAAUCAGAAAGCCACGGCUAACUACGUG
rnacentral:rRNA from 1 species